rnacentral:rRNA from 1 species
GAACGAACGCUGGCGGCAUGCCUAACACAUGCAAGUCGAACGGGAGUACCUGUUUCGGCCAGGUGAGAGUGGCGGACGGGUGAGUAACGCGUGGGAACCUGCCCAGUGGUGGGGGAUAACUGCGGGAAACUGCAGCUAAUACCGCAUGAGCCCGAAAGGGAAAGAGUUGAUCGCCAUUGGGAAGGGGCCCGACGUUCGAUUAGGUAGUUGGUGAGGUAACGGCUCACCAAGCCUUCGAUCGANAGCUGGUCUGAGAGGAUGAUCAGCCACACU